rnacentral:rRNA from 1 species
UACGUAGGUGGCGAGCGUUGUCCGGAAUUACUGGGCGUAAAGGGUGCGUAGGUGGUAGUUAAAGUCAGAUGUGAAAACCCCGGGCUUAACCUGGGAACUGCAUUUGAAACUUAACUACUAGAGUGCAGGAGAGGAAAGCGGAAUUCCUAGUGUAGCGGUGAAAUGCGUAGAUAUUAGGAAGAACACCAGUGGCGGAGGCGGCUUUCUGGACUGUAACUGACACUGAGGCACGAAAGCGUGGGGAGCAAACAGG